rnacentral:rRNA from 1 species
GAGUUUGAUCAUGGCUCAGAACGAACGCUGGCGGCAUGCCUAACACAUGCAAGUCGAACGAGACCUUCGGGUCUAGUGGCGCACGGGUGCGUAACGCGUGGGAACCUGCCCUAAGGUUCGGAAUAACUCCCCGAAAGGGGUGCUAAUACCGGAUAAUGUCUUUGGACCAAAGAUUUAUCGCCUUUGGAUGGGCCCGCGUAGGAUUAGCUAGUUGGUAGGGUAACGGCCUACCAAGGCGACGAUCCUUAGCUGGUCUUAGAGGAUGAUCAGCCACACUGGGACUGAGACACGGCCCAGACUCCUACGGGAGGCAGCAGUGGGGAAUAUUGGACAAUGGGCGAAAGCCUGAUCCAGCAAUGCCGCGUGAGUGAUGAAGGCCUUAGGGUUGUAAAGCUCUUUUACCCGGGAUGAUAAUGACAGUACCGGGAGAAUAAGCCCCGGCUAACUCCGUGCCAGCAGCCGCGGUAAUACGGAGG